GUGGUUGUGGCUCAGUGAUAGAGCACUCACCUAGCAUGCAUGAGGCACUGGGUUCAAUCCUCAGCACCACA
rnacentral:tRNA from 1 species